UGCUGCCACUGUUACCUGCUUGAUGAGACCCUUACAGCUUUUCUUAGAUGCCUCAGGCUGGACAGAAGGGAUUCCUGGCCUGCUGGGUACCUGUCCUUUUAGAAUCUUACCAUCAUCCUGAGGAUUCCAUUUGCUUCUGUUGCAUUGGAUCCUCUAUUUCUUGGAUUCCUUAUUGUUCUCCUUGAUUUACUCCAUCGAUUUGGCAGGACAUAUCCUGUAGUGGUUUCCCGAGAAAGAGCGUGUUAUAGGACUUCCACCCCAGCUACCUCCCAGGUCCUGAGGAUUUGGUGUGCAAACUUAGAGCUACAUCAUCAGCUUUCCUGGUUCUGAGGCCUUCAGACUUGGACUGAGCCACUCAACUGGCAUCUCAAGGUCUCCAGCUUGCUGACAGCCUGCUGUGGGACAUCUCAGCCUCCAUAACUGUGUAAGCCAAUUCCCC
rnacentral:lncRNA from 1 species